rnacentral:lncRNA from 1 species
GAUAGUCGAGUCUGUUUGUGUCUGUUUUAUAUUAGCAUGUUGGUUUGCCUUGUGAUGGAUAAUGGCGAAGUAAACUCCAUAUGGAUGAAUUGCAAAUUUAAUUGGUUAGCAUUGCUUGGCAGUGUUGUGGAUUAAAUUUUCUUUGCAGGACAUUGAGCAGUUUAAUUUUAUCGAGUUAAAUCGUUUGGUUUGUUCAUUUUAUGCCGUUAUGCUGCCAGAAUUUUGUUGAUCCUUAGUACUAAAAGUUUUCUUUUCAGGUACCAUGUCCACCAGACGAGGAUCAGGAGUUUACAAGAGGAGGCGGACCGAUGGUUCCUCUUCUUCUCGAUCGUCAGGCGCUGCACCGACCAGUUCAGGCCAAAUUAGACCACCGCAGCGCCAUCGAUUCCUACUUUUCCAAGGGCAGCCCACCUUUGAG